CUUGAUGUCUCUUCCUGCUACAUGAAGGUGUUGUUAUUCGAAGUGGAUACUCGUCUGCUAAUUAAGUUUAUUGUUGGCGUUUGUCUGCGCAGUACGCCCUCAUGAAUCGUGAGAUUUCUGCCAUGCGGCGCUCCACGGGGUUCGAACUAGGAGAAUAUGUGAAAGUUCGAGAUAUUUUUAUAUCAGCCAGGUC